GGGAGAGAAGACCUGUUGGCGUCAUUUUUGCCGCUGGUAGAAAAAAUAUAUCUCCUAUGUAUUAGGAGAUGACUGUAUAAAGUUAGUGUUCAGUGUUAAUUGCUUUAUCUCACAGAAUUGUGAAGGUAAUCGUAAUUGCUUUAGCCAGGUCUGGGGUACUUCAGAUUGGCAUGUUUCAGUAAACAUGGUGUCCAGGAUUUUGGUGAAGUUGAAUUAUUUGUAGAUUUACUAGAAUUUGUAGAUGGGGGCAGCUCUGAGAAUUUA
rnacentral:misc_RNA from 1 species